rnacentral:rRNA from 1 species
AGUCGUGCGAGAAAGUAUCUUCGGAUAUGAGUAGAGCGGCGGACGGGUGAGUAACGCGUAGGAAUCUACCUAGUAGAAGGGGAUAGCCCGGGGAAACCCGGAUUAAUACCGUAUACCUCCUUCGGGAGAAAGAAGGCCUCUCUUUGAAGCUUUCGCUACUAGAUGAGCCUGCGUAAGAUUAGCUUGUUGGUGAGGUAAAGGCUCACCAAGGCGACGAUCUUUAGCUGGUCUGAGAGGACGAUCAGCCACAUUGGGACUGAGACACGGCCCAGACUCCUACGGGAGGCAGCAGUGGGGAAUAUUGGACAAUGGGCGCAAGCCUGAUCCAGCCAUACCGCGUGUGUGAAGAAGGCCUUCGGGUUGUAAAGCACUUUAAGCAGGGAGAAAAAGUUAUAAGUUAAUACCUUAUAACCCUGAUGUUACCUGCAGAAUAAGCACCGGCUAAUUCCGUGCCAGCAGCCGCGGUAAUACGGAAGGUGCAAGCGUUAAUCGGAAUUACUGGGCGUAAAGCGCGCGUAGGUGGUUUGUUAAGUUGGAUGUGAAAGCCCUGGGCUCAACCUAGGAACUGCAUCCAAAACUAACUC